UACAGAGAGGAGAGAAGUAGAGAAGAAAAAGAGAGUGUGAUAAGCGGGAAUACAGAGGAGAGAAGUAGAGAAGAAAAAGAGAGCGUGAUAAGCGGGAGUACAGAGAGGAGAGAAGUAGAGAAGAAAAAGAGAGCGUGAUAAGGGGAAGUACAGAGAAGUUGAGAAGAAAAAGAGAGCGUGAUAAGGGGAAGUACAGAGAGGAGAGAAGAAAAAGAGAGUGUGAUAAGGGGAAGUACAGAGAGGAGAGAAGUAGAGAAGAAAAAGAGAGCGUGAUAAGGGGAAGUACAGAGAAGUUGAGAAGAAAAAGAGAGCGUGAUAAGGGGAAGUACAGAGAGGAGAGAAGUAGAGAAGAAAAAGAGAGCGUGAUAAGGGGAAGUACAGAGAGGAGACAAGUAGAGAAGAAAAAGAGAGCGUGAUAAGGGGAAGUACAGAGAGGAGAGAAGUAGAGAAGAAAAAGAGAGAGUGAUAAGGGGAAGUACAGAGAGGAGAGAAGUAGAGAAGAAAAAGAGAGCGUGAUAAGGUGAAGUACAGAGAGGAGAGAAGAAAAAGAGAGCGUGAUAAGGGGAAGUACAGAGAGGAGAGAAGUAGAGAAGAAAAAGAGAGCGUGAUAAGGUGAAGUACAGAGAGGAGAGAAGUAGAGAAGAAAAAGAGAGCGUGAUAAGGGGAAGUACAGAGAGGAGAGAAGUAGAGAAGAAAAAGAGAGCGUGAUAAGGUGAAGUACAGAGAGGAGAGAAGUAGAGAAGAAAAAGAGAGCGUGAUAAGGGGAAGUACAGAGAAGUUGAGAAGAAAAAGAGAGCGUGAUAAGGGGAAGUACAGAGAGGAGAGAAGUAGAGAAGAAAAAGAGAGCGUGAUAAGGGGAAGUACAGAGAGGAGACAAGUAGAGAAGAAAAAGAGAGCGUGAUAAGGGGAAGUACAGAGAGGAGAGAAGUAGAGAAGAAAAAGAGAGCGUGAUAAGGGGAAGUACAGAGAAGUUGAGAAGAAAAAGAGAGCGUGAUAAGGGGAAGUACAGAGAGGAGAGAAGUAGAGAAGAAAAAGAGAGCGUGAUAAGGGGAAGUACAGAGAGGAGACAAGUAGAGAAGAAAAAGAGAGCGUGAUAAGGGGAAGUACAGAGAGGAGAGAAGUAGAGAAGAAAAAGAGAGCGUGAUAAGGUGAAGUACAGAGAGGAGACAAGUAGAGAAGAAAAAGAGAGCGUGAUAAGGGGAAGUACAGAGAAGUUGAGAAGAAAAAGAGAGCGUGAUAAGGGGAAGUACAGAGAGGAGAGAAGUAGAGAAGAAAAAGAGAGCGUGAUAAGGUGAAGUACAGAGAGGAGACAAGUAGAGAAGAAAAAGAGAGCGUGAUAAGGGGAAGUACAGAGAAGUUGAGAAGAAAAAGAGAGCGUGAUAAGGGGAAGUACAGAGAGGAGAGAAGUAGAGAAGAAAAAGAGAGAGUGAUAAGGGGAAGUACAGAGAGGAGAGAAGUAGAGAAGAAAAAGAGAGCGUGAUAAGGUGAAGUACAGAGAGGAGAGAAGAAAAAGAGAGCGUGAUAAGGGGAAGUACAGAGAGGAGAGAAGUAGAGAAGAAAAAGAGAGCGUGAUAAGGUGAAGUACAGAGAGGAGAGAAGUAGAGAAGAAAAAGAGAGCGUGAUAAGGGGAAGUACAGAGAGGAGAGAAGUAGAGAAGAAAAAGAGAGCGUGAUAAGGGGAAGUACAGAGAGGAGAGAAGUAGAGAAGAAAAAGAGAGCGUGAUAAGGGGAAGUACAGAGAGGAGAGAAGUAGAGAAGAAAAAGAGAGCGUGAUAAGGGGAAGUACAGAGAGGAGAGAAGUAGAGAAGAAAAAGAGAGAGUGAUAAGGGGAAGUACAGAGAGGAGAGAAGUAGAGAAGAAAAAGAGAGCGUGAUAAGGUGAAGUACAGAGAGGAGAGAAGUAGAGAAGAAAAAGAGAGCGUGAUAAGGGGAAGUACAGAGAAGUUGAGAAGAAAAAGAGAGCGUGAUAAGGGGAAGUACAGAGAGGAGAGAAGUAGAGAAGAAAAAGAGAGCGUGAUAAGGUGAAGUACAGAGAGGAGACAAGUAGAGAAGAAAAAGAGAGCGUGAUAAGGGGAAGUACAGAGAAGUUGAGAAGAAAAAGAGAGCGUGAUAAGGGGAAGUACAGAGAGGAGAGAAGUAGAGAAGAAAAAGAGAGCGUGAUAAGGGGAAGUACAGAGAGGAGACAAGUAGAGAAGAAAAAGAGAGCGUGAUAAGGGAAGUACAGAGAGGAGAGAAGUAGAGAAGAAAAAGAGAGCGUGAUAAGGGGAAGUACAGAGAAGUUGAGAAGAAAAAGAGAGCGUGAUAAGGGGAAGUACAGAGAGGAGAGAAGUAGAGAAGAAAAAGAGAGCGUGAU